rnacentral:rRNA from 1 species
CAGUGGCCGCGGUAAUACGGAGGGUGCAAGCGUUAAUCGGAAUUACUGGGCGUAAAGCGCACGCAGGCGGUCUGACAAGUCAGAUGUGAAAUCCCCGGGCUUAACCUGGGAACUGCAUUUGAAACUGUCAGGCUGGAGUCUUGUAGAGGGGGGUGGAAUUCCAGGUGUAGCGGUGAAAUGCGUAGAGAUCUGGAGGAAUACCGGUGGCGAAGGCGGCCCCCUGGACAAAGACUGACGCUCAGGUGCGAAAGCGUGGGGAGCAAACAGGAUUAGAUACCCGUGUAGUCCCUGUCUCUUAUAC